rnacentral:lncRNA from 1 species
AGCACUACCCCUUUGUCCAAGUGCCUUAUAACAUGUCUUUAUAACUGGCUGUGUAAGAAUGAAGAAAAGCUGUCCAUCUUCUGAGAAGAAGCCCUGCCUUGAACUUCAGGCUGCCUGGCUUGGAUCCUGAUGCUGCUUUGCUGACACAAUCCAUUCUCCCAGGGAACACCCAGAGUUCCACUCCAGCCCUGGCAACGCUGCAGCAGAGGCCAACUGUACGGAAAGUCUACAUUGGCUCGGAACAAUUGAGGCUGGGAGAGGGUAUCACAGCAAUUUCCCCACAUCCAUUCCAGCUGGUGAUUUCCUGCUUGGUCGUCUUUUAAAACCCAGCCAUCUGAAUCCGAGAGUUGCUUCUUCAGCAAGGCCUCCCCUGACUCCUUCAGAUGUCUAAGCACCACCCCUACUCUUCUGCUGCAGCAUCUCCACUUGCUUUUGUCCUUCAUCUCCCUGAAAUUAUUUGCUUACUCAUCCAUCCAUGUCAGUUGCAAAAGCAUGACUUCCUCUAGUCCAAAGGCCAUUCAUGUUCAAUAUGUUAGCACUCGGAGCGUCUCCAGUGGUUGUUUCAAACAAGGCAAAUGAGUUCAGUUGAACUUUAUAUGUUCUGCCCUCCGACUGUGACUGUUAUUUACUUCCCUCCAAACAAAAUGUAAUAAUAAAAUGACUAACU